rnacentral:rRNA from 1 species
AUGACAAGCACUUUGAAAAGAGGGUGAAAAGAGCCUGAAACCGUCACGGGGGAAGCGGAUCGCGUUGGAUCGGUGGGCGCUCGUGUGUUCAGCCUUCGGGUGCAUUGGCACGAGUGCUUAUCCGCUGUGAGUUUUCGGGGAUCGAUUUUGGAUCCCUGGAGGCUGAGGGCUCCCUUUUUGAGGUGAGGACAGCGGAGUAACGACGCGAUACGACCCGUCUUGAAACACGGACCAAGGAGUCUAGCGCGGGUGCGAGUCGGAGGGUGCAAGCCCGUGGGCGAAGUGAAAGCGAGUGUAAAAACGAGCAGUUUGGGGCGGCAUAAGAUCGUUGAUCUUAAGACCGACCCAGAGCAGUUGCGCUGGGACCCGAAAGAUGGUGAACUAUGCCGGAGUAGGGCAAAGCCAGAGGAAACUCUGGUGGAGGCUCGUAGCGGUGCUGACGUGCAAAUCGCUCGUCGAACUUGGGUAUAGGGGCGAAAGACUAAUCGAACCAUCUAGUAGCUGGUUCCCUCCGAAGUUUCUCUCAGGAUAGCUGGCCGACAAGUUGUUUUGUGC